rnacentral:rRNA from 1 species
CCUACGGGAGGCUGCAGUGGGGAAUAUUGGACAAUGGGGGGAACCCUGAUCCAGCAAUGCCGCGUGUGUGAAGACGGCCUUCGGGUUGUAAAGCACUUUCAGUAGGGAGGAAAGGUGCGUAGUUAAUACCUGCGCAAUUGACGUUACCUACCGAAGAAGCACCGGCUAACUCCGGGCCAUCAGCCGCGGUAAUACGGAGGGUGCGAGCGUUAUUCGGAAUUACUGGGCGUAAAGCGAACGCAGGCGGUUGCCCAAGUCAGAUGUGAAAGCCCCGGGCUUAACCUGGGAACUGCAUUUGAAACUGGGGGACUAGAGUAUGAAAGAGGAAAGCGGAAUUUCCAGUGUAGCAGUGAAAUGCGUAGAUAUUGGAAGGAACAACGAUGGCGAAGGCAGCUUUCUGGGUCGAUACUGACGCUCAUGUGCGAAAGCGUGGGGAGCAAACAGGAUGAGAUACCCUGGUAGUC